ACUGGGGCUGAAGACCUUAGCAAAUAGACGGUUUAUUAAUUAGACUCUUCCAUGUAGACUUUGUGUCCAAGGCACUGAAGACCCAACAAGGUCAGCUGGCAGCCUGCAGGAGGCAACGGGGUGAGCAAAGGACUGUGCAACUGCACCCACAGCGAAGAGGCACUCGAGGGAAGCUGCACUAUUUGAUGAACACAAUCUGAAUACGGACUUCAAUAAGCAGAAGCUAGAAGCAGAGAACACGAAUUGAAUGCCAUUGAGAUAUUUUGAGAAAACAAGGGACUCCAAACAGCUAACCUACCCCACUUGUGCCACUCCCCAGAGGAAGAAGCCUGUUCCUACACGCCUCAGUCUCAGGCAGCAGACCAGCCUCAGGCAGCUAUACUUGGUGAAAGCAACCAGUGAGGCAGCCCUGACUUCCUCCAUCCUCUCUCCACCACAAUUGAGCUAACUAGUGAUACUAGCAGUGGCUUGUCUUCCAUAGCCUUUGCAUUUACCUGUGGACAAGUUUCAACCAAUUUGCCUGGUACUGAAGUUAGAUUUACUGGACUGAAAUUGCCAAGAUUACCGCUGGAGCCUUUUUGAAAGCCUCCAGUCAUCUGGUACAGAAGCUGAUUUAUGAUUUAUGUUAUAGCCUCAGGAUUGAUUUCCAUCUGAAUUAUAGAAUUCUUUGUCAGUACUUGUAUAUAAUAAAGAGAGAAAGCCUCUUUUCAGAGUAGAGAGCAUAGUAGAAUUCUUCCUGGUCUAGCAUCGUUGUUACUGUCUUUUCCAAGUCCUCACGUUUUGCAGUGAGGGACUGUAGUUUGCUGUCCUUCAGUUUCCUCCAUAAGCUCUGUGGUGGUAUUUACUGCCAAGGUCAUGCUCUUUGGCAAACGCUCACACUGUGUUUCAUACGUCACCAAUUUCAGCCUUUUAUUCUUUUCAAGGAGCACAUGU